rnacentral:tmRNA from 1 species
GGGGGCGUUCUGGCUUCGACGUGGAUCGGACGUACCCUGGGGCAUGCCGAGGAGGCAGCAAUCCUCGUAAAACCUGGCUGCAAAUUGUUAGUUGCCAACGACGACAACUACGCACUAGCCGCCUAAAAACCGGCUUGCUCUCCCCCGUUUGAGCCUGCGCUUUCGACGGGAGAUCACUUAGCAGGAUCGCAUCAGGUCGAGUUUCGGGGCCUGGUGUUAAAUCAAACCGCAACUGGCCGGCAUGCAUGCCCUGCCCCUCGGGCGGCAUGACGGCGAGAAAAAAUCGAGCGGGCUAAGCAUGUAGAACCAGGAUCAGAUGGUUUGCGGACGCGGGUUCGACUCCCGCCGCCUCCACCA